GAUCCUGGCUCAGAAUCAACGCUGGCGGCGUGCCUAACACAUGCAAGUCGCACGAGAAAGGGGCUUCGGUCCUGAGUAAAGUGGCGCACGGGUGAGUAACACGUGAAUUAUCUACCUUCGAGUGGGGAAUAACUGGGAGAAAUCUCAGCUAAUACCGCAUAAUACCUACGGGUCAAAGCAGUAAUGCGCUUGAAGAGGAGUUCGCGGCAGAUUAGUUAGUUGGCGGGGUAAUGGCCCACCAAGACGAUGAUCUGUAUCCGGCCUGAGAGGGCGCACGGACACACUGGAACUGAAACACGGUCCAGACUCCUACGGGAGGCAGCAGUGGGGAAUUUUGCGCAACGGGGGAAACCCUGACGCAGCAACGCCGCGUGGAGGAUGAAGUAUCUUGGUACGUAAACUCCUUUCGAUGGGGAAGAUAAUGACGGUACCCAUAGAAGAAGCCCCGGCUAACUUCGUGCCAGCAGCCGCGGUAAUACGAGGGGGGCAAGCGUUGUUCGGAAUUAUUGGGCGUAAAGGGUGCGUAGGCGGUUUGAUAAGUCUGAUGUGAAAUCUCUGGGCUCAACCCAGAGUCUGCAUUAGAAACUGUCGGGCUUGAGUAUGGGAGAGGUGAGUGGAAUUUCCGGUGUAGCGGUGAAAUGCGUAGAUAUCGGAAGGAACACCUGUGGCGAAAGCGGCUCACUGGACCAU
rnacentral:rRNA from 1 species